rnacentral:rRNA from 1 species
AUGGCGUCCUCCAAGGGCUCCUGGGCCGCACUUGCAUUGCUCCUCCUUGUUGCUCUCGCGUCCACGGCCGUCAAUGGCGACCACAAGCUCUCCGCCGGGUACUACGACAAGACGUGCCCCAACGUGCAGCGCGUCGUGCGGCGGGUCAUGGCGUACAAGGUCGCCGGCGAGCCCGCCAUCGCACCCGCCAUCCUCCGCCUCUUCUUCCACGACUGCUUCGUCAACGGAUGCGAUGCCUCCGUUCUCCUGGACGGCACGUACUUCUCCGAGAGCGAGAAGGACGCGCUGCCGAACGCUUCCCUCCGAGGCUUCGAGGUGAUCGACGAGAUCAAGUCCGUGCUGGAGCACAACUGCCCGGCCACCGUCUCCUGCGCCGACGUACUCGCCCUGGCGUCCCGGGACGCCGUCACCAUGCUCGGAGGGCCCGCCUGGAGCAUGCCCCUCGGCCGCAUGGACUCUCGCACCGCCGACAGGGACGGCGCCGAGAACCUCCCCAGCCCACGCGACAACUACACCUCGCUCGUCUCGACGUUCAGGGAGCGCGGCCUCGACGCCCGCGACAUGACCGCGCUCUCCGGCGCGCACACUGUAGGGAUGGCCAACUGCCAUAACUACAGGGGCCGCAUCUACGGCACCGACGGCGACACCAACAUCGAUCCCUCCUUCGCGGAGACUAGGCGGCAGACGUGCCCCGACGGUGACAAUGAGGGUGGCAUGGCGCCAUUUGACGAGCAGACGCCGAUGACAUUCGACAACGCCUACUACAAGGAUCUGAUCGCGCGGCGUGGCCUCCUCAGCUCCGACCAAGCUCUCUACGGCUCGGGUGGGCGGCAGGACGAUCUUGUGGAGAUGUAUAGCAGGGACGGUAAGAGGUUCGCGAAGGACUUCGCGAAGGCCAUGGUAAAGAUGGGGAACAUACGCCCGUCCAAGGGGACCACGCUGGAGGUCAGGCUCAAUUGCAAGAUGGUCAACUAG